AUGGCAAUGAAGGAGAUGGUUCUGGAAGUCAGUCCCUUCGCCAGAACUCAAAGCGUGCUGCUAAUCGCCAGCCACGCCCGAAACAUAGUGUUGAGCGGGGAGAGGAAGUUGAGGCAGCAGUUGGUGGAGGAGCUGCCUCAUCUUUCGCAGCAGAUGCUGAGGCCAGCGGUGAAGGAGUUGAGGUGGCUGCCCGAGAAGAUGUGGAGCGACCAUCACAAGCUGGCAGACACACUUCCAGGGGACUUCAGUAAAUUCCUGGUGCAGUCCUACCAGCCAGAGACAUCUGAAAUGGUGUUCCCAGGCAGGGGAAGUAUCCGUGUCGAUGCUGACAGUGUUCAAAGGAUCCUGUACCUUGACGCGCUCGUUCAUGACAUCCCAGUAAGCAACUGUGCGAUACAAUCGAAUGCAUGGGAUAGUAACCUAAUUGCCAAGGUGAUCAAGAAGGACACGAUCUCUCCUAUGUGUUCGACAAAUUACAACUUAAAGAGGAGUAUAGGGGCACGGAGCAAACACCACUGUUUGGUGGUCUUUGGCAAGCUCAAGCAUUUGUUGCAUCCAAAUUACCACUAA
rnacentral:rRNA from 1 species